rnacentral:misc_RNA from 1 species
GAUGAAGAACGUAGCGAAAUGCGAUAAGUAAUGUGAAUUGCAGAAUUCAGUGAAUCAUCGAAUCUUUGGACGCACAUUGCGCCCGCCAGUAUUCUGGCGGGCAUGCCUGUUCGAGCGUCAUUACAACCCUCAGGCCCCCGGGCCUGGCGUUGGGGAUCGGCGGAAGCCCCCUGCGGGCACAACGCCGUCCCCCAAAUACAGUGGCGGUCCCGCCGCAGCUUCCAUUGCGUAGUAGCUAACACCUCGCAACUGGAGAGCGGCGCGGCCACGCCGUAAAACACCCAACUUCUGAAUGUUGACCUCGAAUCAGGUAGGAAUACCCGCUGAACUUAAGCAUAUCAAUAAGCGGAGGA